GUCUAGCUUAGUUGGUAGAGUGCAAGGCUUUUAACCUUGAGGUUGUGAGUUCAAGCCCCAUGGUGAACA
rnacentral:tRNA from 1 species